rnacentral:tRNA from 1 species
GGGGAUAUGACUCAGUGGUAAAGUGCUUGCCUGGCAUGCAUGAGGUUCUGGGUUAAAAUCCCCAAACACCCCCA